rnacentral:lncRNA from 1 species
UGUAAAUCUUUCAAGAAAUAAUUUACUUUUGUUUUUUACUUCAUCAAAAUGUCCCUGCAGCGACGACACACUCUUCUUCAAAUGUGUCUCCAACAUCAACCUUAUCAACACCGCCUGCCAGUACAAAUGAGACUCAAGCAACACCUACAACACCCUCUACCAGUACAAGCACUACAACUGAGUCUCAAACAACAACACAUAUGAGUAAGUACUGUAACAUGUACAGUUGAAUCAUUGUAUUGUUGAUGUAUACUGACAUAAUCAACAUUUC